rnacentral:rRNA from 1 species
UACGUAGGGUGCAAGCGUUAAUCGGAAUUACUGGGCGUAAAGCGUGCGCAGGCGGUUUUGUAAGUCUGUCGUGAAAUCCCCGGGCUUAACCUGGGAAUGGCGAUGGAGACUGCAAGGCUAGAGUUUGGCAGAGGGGGGUAGAAUUCCACGUGUAGCAGUGAAAUGCGUAGAGAUGUGGAGGAACACCGAUGGCGAAGGCAGCCCCCUGGGUCAAAACUGACGCUCAUGCACGAAAGCGUGGGGAGCAGACAGG